UUUCUAGCCACGUACAUUGGUUGUAAGGGACGCCUAGGUACCUACGUGCGGCACGCCGACCCGACGCGCCUUUGAAUAAUUUGAACAGGCCACGUGAGCACGUGAAAAAAUAUCUGAAUUGGUCGCCAUUUUGAAGUCGUUUUACAGCACAUUAGCAGAUAGAAAAUGAAGGAAAAAAGAGACGACACUGUACCCUAGUUGGACAUCAACUUGCUGAUAAAUGCACAGCCAGAGUGAGACAAGGCAGAGUUUCUGUCCGAGCUUGGAUUGGAUAUACCAGCCUGGAUGGGCUUCCUCGCUGCUGGAGAUGUAGACCUGGAUCAAGAUGUCUGGUGAGACAAGCAGAGUUUCUGUCCGAGCUUGGAUUGGAUAUACUAGCCUGGAUGGGCUUCCUCGCUGCUGGAGAUGUAGACCUGGAUCAAGAUGUCUGGUGAGACAAGCAGAGUUUCUGUCCGAGCUUGGAUUGGAUGCCAGCCUGGAUGGGCUUCCCCGCUGCUGGAGAUGUAGACCUGGAUCAAGAUGUCUGGUCGUCUUCAGUCAACUGAACAGCUGUUGGGCAUCCUGGGCAGACACCAUGGCAACUGCUACUGAUGACAGCUCUCUCCCUGAUGAUGUCUGGAUCUGAUGCCAACCUGUGGGACUUGCAGCAUCAAGAUAUGGAUGGAAUCCUUCAGCUCAGCUCUCUCCCUCAUGAUGUCUGGAUCUGAUGCCAACCUGUGGGACCCGUGGAAUCCUUCAGCUCAGCCGUUGGGCAUCCUGGGCAGACACCAUGGCAACUGCUACUGAUGACAGCUCUCUCCCUGAUGAUGUCUGGAUCUGAUGCCAACCUGUGGGACUUGCAGCAUCAAGACAUGGAUGGAAUCAUCUUAAGACUAAGGGCAAAUCCAUGGCAAUAGGACACAUAGAUGGUUAAUUACUACAUGAUUAAUUUGUGUACGUUUGAAACACUGAAGUCAAUGAUUCGUGAGUGUUCAAACGGACUGAUUCAAUGACAGAAGCCUUGCUCAAAGUAAAAACAGGACUGGUAUCAAAUAUCCUGUGAAAUUACAUGCUGUAAUUUGUUUACAUUUGCAAAGUGUCAAUAACUUAUUCUUAGUUUAAUUAACAGCCAUCCGUUCAAAAUCGUUUGUUGUAAUGAAUAAAUAAACAAUUCAGUUCCAGCGAUUUCAACUUAAAAUCUACUCAAUAGAAACAGACUUUAUUGACAGUCUUGCCAUGGAUUUGCUCUACUUUAAACCAGGCACAUAUAACCGAAGACCCCCCCCCCCCAAAAAAGCUUGCAAUUUAAACUUGCACAUUAAGUUGUUGGGAAUAUUUUAAGUAACAAAACCAUUUGUUGGUGCCUAAUUUAAAAAAAACAAGCUAUUGUAGUGCAUUUACUAUCCAAAAAUCACCCUCCCCCAAGAACAAGGAAGACUCUUUUGCGCAGCGUAUUGACCAAAACCUACAUGCAUUUACAGAUAUGUGCCUGGUUUCUAUAUAGUUUUUGAGUUGUUGAAAAUGUAUUUAUAAGUAUGUCUAUACCACAGAGCUAUUUUGCAUUACGAGAGCGUUUACUCGGUACAAAGUGAAGCCUGCUGGGCACAUCCAUCAAACCUUAGAAAACUGGAAAGUUUGUACUGCUUUUAAACGGCUAUUUGCAUUUGCAUUCUAUACAUCUGCAUUAUCCAAGACUACAUGCCAAAACCGAAAUGCACUAUCAGUAAAUGAUUAUUAAAUUUUGCUCUGCGCAAACGACGCAAAGGCGUGUGCACAUCAGCAGCUAAUGAUUCUUGCCUUGACGUUUUGUAACCGUCAUGACACGCCUAAGUUCUUUGCGUAUGUCGUACAUGUGCGUUGCAUUUAGAGUACACUUUCAAAUUCACUCCGUCACAUUUCUUUGUUCUACAAACUACAAAUGUCUGCGCGCAGGACGGCUAGAUAGAAUCUGCAUCAGAAUGAGGAGUUAGCGCUCAAGUACUUUAAUAUAGCUCUGUGGUCUACACUAGCACAUCAUAUGCACAAAAUUAUGGCCAUAUUAAAAAAGUGUUUUUCUGAAUAGUUUUUGAGAGGAUCUAUAUUCUGAAAAAAAAGUUCUGCCAAUCGUAACUAGGUGUGAUUAGGAAAGAAAACUUGUGUGUGGUUGCCAAACGGUCGGAGAACAGAAUUUAAAAUAUAGUAUUUAUUAUCGACUGCAUGCAAACAUAGUCAUUACAUUACAUUUGUAUUUGCUGACGUGAACAAAGUUUUUCGCGUGACAUUUUAUUUUACCUUAUAAGGAUGCCAUUACUUCGGCCCAUGAAAACUGCUUCAUUAAUGGUGCGUAUCUGCCUAAAACUACUACAAUUUUCACAUAUCGGCCAUAAUUUUAUUUAUAUGAUGUGCUAAUGUAGUCCUUUCUAUCUGACCUGAAUAAAAAGUUUUGUUGCUUUGUUAGUGCCUUUCUUUAUUUGUCUGUUGUCUACUCCAAGAUAUUGCAGCUCUAAGAAAUGAACAAAAAGUAAUCAAAUCUGUCCAGUUAUCCAGUAAUGCCCCUCUAACUUUCAUCUUAAAAAAAACAAACCCAAAACCCAACAACUUUGGCAAUAUAAUACUUUUAUGUCAUGCUGAUAUGCAAAAUGCUGCUUUGUUGGAGUAGGUAACAGACUUGGUAGUUCUUUUAGGAGAUGGUUCAAUCAUUAAUGGCCGUUUGAGGAAUGGAGCUAUGUUAAAUCACUAGAGAUAAUUCUGUACGCAAAGCAGUAUGUUUGCGCGUUUUGCAACUCUUGCAUUUCUGUUCAAAACAAAUGCGCAUAUGAAAAUAAGCAUUUUAUUUCACUGCGCAAACACAUCCACUUGCGAUUUUAGCACUUGUGAUAAAACCAUGCCUAAGCAGCAGCACUUUUUGCGAAAACCUGCCAAAACAUUAUUCUAUUUACAUGCGCAAAUGACUUGGUACUCUAGUUAUUUAAUAUAGCUCUAAUUUUCAAAAUAUUGAACUGAUAGAGGGCGCUUUUCCCAAGUUAAUGUCUUUAAAUUGUUAAUGUUUGAAUAUUGAGGGCGCUGUUUUGUAAAAUACCAGAAACUAAUAAAGUGCUAAAAACUAGUUGUUUCUUGAACUUGUA
rnacentral:lncRNA from 1 species